CGAAAAUUGUGUAGUUAUGUGGGUUUCGUUUCACACGCAGAGAAGGAGGAUUCAGGACUGUUAAGGAAGAGGUUGUAUUUAAAAAGUGGGGUUGCUGGGAGUGCCUGAGGUUAUUAAGGAUUUCAACUUAAAUUAAAGUGAUACUGUGCCAGGAGCAGGAGAAAAUGGAGAGUCUGGAACAAUCAGAAGCUUUUUGCUUGCAGGGAUUGCUUGUCUUUUGUUCUUUCUUCCUACCCUCACCUCAAAUGCCCCUGGCCUUGGUUCCCUUGCAACUGCCUGGAAAUCAGUGCUAUAUUACAGGAGACCUUUUGUACUUUCCCUUGUUUUCUAUCACAGAUAUAUUUUCAAAAUGCUGGUUCCCCCACCUGAACAUAGCCAAAGUUUAAAAUAAAUGUCUGUAU
ensembl:lncRNA